CCUGCCCCCUUGGGGCUCUCUGAGGGAUUCUGUCUGUCGGGCCCCCAGCCUGGGGGAGGAUGACCUCCAGGCUGCCCGGAAGCUUCUAGCUUACUCCGCUCCUUUCCUUCCCAAUCUUCUGAGGGAGCAAUUUCUUUUCAACAUCGGCCUGAGUCCCCAGGAUCCAGCGAGUAUUCAUCUUUUACCUUAUCUUCUCUUUUCAC
rnacentral:lncRNA from 1 species